rnacentral:rRNA from 1 species
GACGAACGCUGGCGGCGUGCUAACACAUGCAAGUCGAACGGUGAAGCGCCUUCCUUUUUGGUGGGUGUGGAUGAGUGGCGAACGGGUGAGUAACACGUGAGUAACCUGCCCCCUUCUUCUGGAUAACCGCAUGAAAGUGUGGCUAAUACGGGAUAUUCUGGGUCUGUCGCAUGAUGGGUCUGGGAAAGGUUUUUUUCUGGUGGGGGAUGGGCUCGCGGCCUAUCAGCUUGUUGGUGGGGUGAUGGCCUACCAAGGCGGUGACGGGUAGCCGGCCUGAGAGGGUGGACGGUCACACUGGGACUGAGACACGGCCCAGACUCCUACGGGAGGCAGCAGUGGGGAAUAUUGCACAAUGGGCGCAAGCCUGAUGCAGCGACGCCGCGUGAGGGAUGGAGGCCUUCGGGUUGUGAACCUCUUUCGCCAGUGAAGCAGG